rnacentral:rRNA from 1 species
AUGAACGCUAGCUACAGGCUUAACACAUGCAAGUCGAGGGGCAGCAUGAUCGAAGCUUGCUUUGAUUGAUGGCGACCGGCGCACGGGUGAGUAACGCGUAUCCAACCUUCCCUAUAGUAGAGAAUAGCCCGGUGAAAAUCGGAUUAAUGCUCUAUGUUAUUCAAUGCGGACAUCUAAGUUGAAUCAAAGGUUUACCGCUAUAGGAUGGGGAUGCGUCUGAUUAGGUUGUUGGCGGGGUAACGGCCCACCAAGCCCACGAUCAGUAGGGGUUCUGAGAGGAAGGUCCCCCACACUGGUACUGAGACACGGACCAGACUCCUACGGGAGGCAGCAGUGAGGAAUAUUGGUCAAUGGGCGCGAGCCUGAACCAGCCAAGUAGCGUGCAGGAAUGACUGCCCUAUGGGUUGUAAACUGCUUUUAUCAGGGAAUAAAGUGAGGCACGUGUGCCUUUUUGUAUGUACCUGAUGAAUAAGGACCGGCUAAUUCCGUGCCAGCCGCGGC